UGGGGAACAGAGCUCGAGAGAUAAAAGAAAUGGCUCAUAAGGCAGUUAAAGACGGUGGAUCAUCAGCUUCAAAUUGCAAAUUAUUUAUUCAAGAAAUUGCGGGAAUUCACCUGAGUAAUGCAUGUUUUAUGCAUGGGGCUUGCACCUGGUGUGUCGUGUGUAUAGACACAGGGAUGCCAAAAGUGGUGAACCUUGCUAGUGUCACUAUCUACAAAUCAUAGCAAUUUACCAUCACACUCACGAGUCAUGUGUCUUAAGCGCUGGUAUAUAUAUGUGAAAAAUAAAAAGAGAACAAAUAUGGGGAUGUCAAGUGGAAGAAGUUGAGCAAGUUUUCCCGCAAUUUGAGAAGUAUUAUGUAUAUAUAACUAGUUGGAGAUUUACUUGCAACUAUAUGUAUAAGAUUUGAACUUCUUAAAAUGAUUUUUAUUCAAUAAAAUUAUGUUUCUCCUUAUCCAUUUGUAA